UACGUAGGGGGCAAGCGUUGUCCGGAUUCAUUGGGCGUAAAGAGCGUGUAGGCGGCCAGGUAGGUCCGUUGUGAAAACUCGAGGCUCAACCUCGAGACGUCGAUGGAAACCAUCUGGCUAGAGUCCGGAAGAGGAGAGUGGAAUUCCUGGUGUAGCGGUGAAAUGCGCAGAUAUCAGGAAGAACACCUAUGGCGAAGGCAGCUCUCUGGGACGGUACUGACGCUGAGACGCGAAAGCGUGGGGAGCGAACAGG
rnacentral:rRNA from 2 species